AGGGCAAGUCUGGUGCCAGCAGCCGCGGUAAUUCCAGCUCCAAUAGCGUAUAUUAAAGUUGUUGCAGUUAAAAAGCUCGUAGUUGAAUUUCGGGGUUAGUAGGUUGGUCAUGCCUCAGGUAUGUACUGAUCUCACUGAUUCCUCCUUCCUGAUGAACCGUAAUGCCAUUAAUUUGGUGUUGCGGGGAAACUGGACUGUUACUUUGAAAAAAUUAGAGUGUUUAAAGCAGGCUAACGCUUGAAUACAUUAGCAUGGAAUAAUGAGAUAGGACGUUCGAUCCUAUUUUGUUGGUUUCUAGGAUUGACGUAAUGAUUAAUAGGGAUAGUUGGGGGCAUUAGUAUUCAAUUGUCAGAGGUGAAAUUCUUGGAUUUAUUGAAGACUAACUACUGCGAAAGCAUUUGCCAAGGAUGUUUUCAUUAAUCAAGAACGAAAGUUAGGGGAUCGAAGACGAUCAGAUACCGUCGUAGUCUUAACCAUAAACUAUGCCGACUAGGGAUCGGAUGAUGUUAAUUUUUUAAUGACUCAUUCGGCGCCUUACGGGAA
rnacentral:rRNA from 1 species